AGCAGUUCUUCCUUAACAUAAAAAUCUAACAAUAAAAUCUAAAGUUUGCAAGCAACACUAUUUUUAACUACAUCCAAAGAAUUGUGAAUAACAGAGAGGAAAAAAAUGAUAAUUCCAAACGUCUCAAAUUUAAAUAUGUCGGUAUCACACUAAACCAUGAUUUAGCAAAAGAUACUUGAUUAACCAUCAGUAAUACCAUAAGAGUAAACAACAACUAACAACUUAUUUUCUUCUAUAAGAGAAUAAGAAUGGACCUUAAUCUGGAUGUGAUUUUCCUAAUUAUGUUUCCUACUUAGACCAGAGCCAGGAACGGAAAUUCGGACGAGCUUCCUCGAACGAAAACUCCAACAUGGCCUCAAGCUUCACUCUCUUCUAACUCGCCCAAACUAAAGAGACAAAGCCGGAAUUUUGCAGGGUUUUUCAAAGCUAGUUUGCAGGCUAUUUUUGCUACUGGUUCGGUGGCUGUUGGCUCUAUCGUUUCCGGGGAGUUCGCCGGUAAUGGAAGUGAGGCCGAAAAGGAGAGAGAGAGAGAGGGGUCUUUUUUGUGAGAGAAAAUCCGAAAAAAAUGAGAAGGCCGACUUUUUCGAUCUCCUCUGUUUUUGUGUUUAAAACUAGAAGUUCUUUGCUUAAGAUCGACCUUGAAAUUUGAGAGCAUACUUCAAAGCAGCAGAAUGAUAUUAAGAAGCUGGGUUUAAAGUAAAAUCGGAAGAACUCUUUUUUAGUCCUCUCUGUUUCAAGAAGGCAGCCACACUCUUUUGAUGCUCUCCGACUGGAUUUUCAAGUUUUUGCGAAGGGGUCGUGCGAAGAAGAUGAAGUCAGGGGGAUGUGUCCCGUGCGUUGAUUCCUCUUUUUUUCUGCCUUAUUUUUUCUGCCUUAUUUUUUCAGCUUCUUAGGGUCUUAUAGAUCUAGAGUCUAGGCUUACAUUUUGUGUAUUU
rnacentral:lncRNA from 1 species